rnacentral:rRNA from 1 species
CCUACGGGUGGCAGCAGUGGGGAAUAUUGGACAAUGGGGGCAACCCUGAUCCAGCCAUACCGCGUGUGUGAAGAAGGCCCUCGGGUUGUAAAGCACUUUCAGUGAGGAAGAACGCCUGGUGGUUAAUACCCAUCAGGAAAGACAUCACUCACAGAAGAAGCACCGGCUAACUCCGUGCCAGCAGCCGCGGUAAUACGGAGGGUGCGAGCGUUAAUCGGAAUUACUGGGCGUAAAGCGCGCGUAGGUGGCUUGAUAAGCCGGUUGUGAAAGCCCCGGGCUCAACCUGGGAACGGCAUCCGGAACUGUCAAGCUAGAGUGCAGGAGAGGAAGGUAGAAUUCCCGGUGUAGCGGUGAAAUGCGUAGAGAUCGGGAGGAAUACCAGUGGCGAAGGCGGCCUUCUGGACUGACACUGACACUGAGGUGCGAAAGCGUGGGUAGCAAACAGGAUUAGAUACCCCAGUAGUC